GAUAGCUUCAUUCAAAUAUCUAGCCCUAUCAACUUUCGAUGGUAGGAUAGAAGGCCUACCAUGGGUUUUGACGGGUAACGGGGAAUAAGGGUUCGAUUCCGGAGAGGGAGCCUGAGAAACGGCUACACAUCCACGGAAGGCAGCAGGCGCGCAAAUUACCCAAUCCCGACACGGGGAGGUAGUGACAAUAAAUAACAAUAUAGGGCCCUUUUGGGUCUUAUAAUUGGAAUGAGUACAAUUUAAAUCCGUUAACGAGGAACAAUUGGAGGGCAAGUCUGGUGCCAGCAGCCGCGGUAAUUCCAGCUCCAAUAGCGUAUAUUAAAGUUGUUGCAGUUAAAAAGCUCGUAGUUGAACUUCAGACCUGACCGGGCGGUCCGCCUAACGGUGUGUACUGUCUGGCCGGGCCUUACCUCUUGGUGAGCCGGCAUGCCCUUCACUGGGUGUGUCGGGGAACCAGGACCUUUACCUUGAGAAAAUUAGAGUGUUCAAAGCAGGCUUACGCCGGAAUACAUUAGCAUGGAAUAAUAAA
rnacentral:rRNA from 1 species